rnacentral:rRNA from 1 species
CCUACGGGCGGCAGCAGUGGGGGAUAUUGCACAAUGGGGGGAACCCUGAUGCAGCGACGCCGCGUGGGUGAAGGAGCGUUUCGGCGCGUAAAGCCCUAUCGGCAGGGAAGAAAAUGACGGUACCUGGCCAAGAAGCCCCGGCUAACUACGUGCCAGCAGCCGCGGUAAUACGUAGGGGGCAAGCGUUAUCCGGAUUUACUGGGUGUAAAGGGGGCGCAGACGGCAAUGCAAGCCAGGAGUGAAAGCCCGGGGCCCAACCCCGGGACUGCUCUUGGAACUGCAUGGCUGGAGUACAGGAGGGGCAGGCGGAAGUCCUAGUGUAGCGGUGAAAUGCGUAGAUAUUAGGAGGAACACCGGUGGCGAAGGCGGCCUGCUGGACUGUGACUGACGUUGAGGCCCGAAGGCGUGGGGAGCAAACAGGAUUAGAUACCCGAGUAGUC